UACGGAGGAUCCGAGCGUUAUCCGGAUUUAUUGGGUUUAAAGGGUGCGCAGGCGGAAGGUUAAGUCGGUGGUGAAAUUUUGCAGCUCAACUGUAAAAGUGCCAUUGAUACUGGUUUUCUUGAGUGUGGAUGAGGUAGGCGGAAUUUGUGGUGUAGCGGUGAAAUGCAUAGAUAUCACGAGGAACUCCGAUUGCGCAGGCAGCUUACUAAACCAUAACUGACGCUCAGGCACGAAGGCGUGGGGAGUCAAACAGGAUUAGAUACCCU
rnacentral:rRNA from 1 species